ACCAGGACCAUCUGGUAAGGCUAAAUACUACCUAGUGACCGAUAGUGAACCAGUACCGUGAGGGAAAGGUGAAAAGAACCCCGGGAGGGGAGUGAAAUAGAACCUGAAACCGUGUGCUUACAAGUAGUCAGAGCACCAAUAAGGUGUGAUGGCGUGCCUUUUGUAGAAUGAACCGGCGAGUUACUUUAUCAUGCGAGGUUAAGUGGAAGACAUGGAGCCGCAGCGAAAGCGAGUCUUAAUAGGGCGAAAUAGUAUGAUGGAGUAGACCCGAAACCAAGUGAUCUACCCAUGGCCAGGUUGAAGUUUAGGUAACACUGAAUGGAGGACCGAACCAGGACACGUUGAAAAGUGUUUGGAUGAGCUGUGGGUAGCGGAGAAAUUCCAAUCGAACUUGGAAAUAGCUGGUUCUCUCCGAAAUAGCUUUAGGGCUAGCCUCGUGAAGAGUUUAUUGGAGGUAGAGCACUGUUUGGACUAGGGGCCCAUCCCGGGUUACCGAAUUCAGACAAACUCCGAAUGCCAAAUAAAUAUGCACGGGAGUCAGACUGCGGGUGAUAAGGUUCGUAGUCGAAAGGGAAACAGCCCAGACCGCCAGC
rnacentral:rRNA from 1 species